GAAAUCGGAGAGGAAAUUCGCC
rnacentral:miRNA from 1 species